rnacentral:rRNA from 1 species
GAUGAACGCUGGCGGCGUGCCUAAUACAUGCAAGUCGAGCGAACGGACGAGAAGCUUGCUUCUCUGAUGUUAGCGGCGGACGGGUGAGUAACACGUGGAUAACCUACCUAUAAGACUGGGAUAACUUCGGGAAACCGGAGCUAAUACCGGAUAAUAUUUUGAACCGCAUGGUUCAAAAGUGAAAGACGGUCUUGCUGUCACUUAUAGAUGGAUCCGCGCUGCAUUAGCUAGUUGGUAAGGUAACGGCUUACCAAGGCAACGAUGCAUAGCCGACCUGAGAGGGUGAUCGGCCACACUGGAACUGAGACACGGUCCAGACUCCGACGGGAGGCAGCAGUAGGGAAUCUUCCGCAAUGGGCGAAAGCCUGACGGAGCAACGCCGCGUGAGUGACGAAGGUCUUCGGAUCGUAAAACUCUGUUAUUAGGGAAGAACAUAUGUGUAAGUAACUGUGCACAUCUUGACGGUACCUAAUCAGAAAGCCACGGCUAACUACGU